AGGACGAACGCUGGCGGCGUGCUUAACACAUGCAAGUCGAACGGUGACCCGGAGCUUGCUCCGGUGAUCAGUGGCGAACGGGUGAGUAACACGUGGGCAACCUGCCCUUGGCUCUGGGAUAACUCCGAGAAAUCGGGGCUAAUACCGGAUAUGAAGUCGGAAGGCAUCUUCUGACUUGGAAAGUUUUUCGGCCAAGGAUGGGCCCGCGGCCUAUCAGCUUGUUGGUGGGGUAAUGGCCUACCAAGGCGACGACGGGUAGCCGGCCUGAGAGGGCGACCGGCCACACUGGGACUGAGACACGGCCCAGACUCCUACGGGAGGCAGCAGUGGGGAAUAUUGCACAAUGGGCGAAAGCCUGAUGCAGCGACGCCGCGUGAGGGAUGACGGCCUUCGGGUUGUAAACCUCUUUCAGCAGGGACGAAGCGAAAGUGACGGUACCUGCAGAAGAAGCACCGGCAACUACGUGCCAGCAGCCGC
rnacentral:rRNA from 1 species